UACGUAGGGCGCAAGCGUUAUCCGGAAUUAUUGGGCGUAAAGAGCUUGUAGGUGGUUUGUUGCGUCUGCCGUGAAAGUCCGGGGCUCAACUCCGGAUCUGCGGUGGGUACGGGCAGGCUAGAGUGAUGUAGGGGAGACUGGAAUUCCUGGUGUAGCGGUGAAGUGCGCAGAUAUCAGGAGGAACACCGACGGCGAAGGCAGGUCUCUGGGCAUUAACUGACGCUGAGGAGCGAAAGCAUGGGGAGCGAACAGG
rnacentral:misc_RNA from 1 species